UGGAAUUCGUGGUGGGCGGUGGGAGAUCUGAGUGGUCGGAGAAUAAAAGAGAGGGUGGGAGGAUGGAAAAGGAGAUAGUAUUGGUAUCAGAUCGGAAACGUGGAGCGGCGGAAUUGUGGGUGACGGUAGAAUGCUUGACGGACGCAUGCAUGGAUCUAGAACUGAAGGAGGCAGAGAUAGGGUGUACGGAUGAAGAGAGGAUAAAGAAUCUAGAGAAGGACACGUGUCCAGGGUUUAUAUCGGACGGUAUGAAUAGAGUAGAGUGGUUAAACAAGGCAUUUAAGAGGAUGGUAUGGCAAAUGCUAAUGUGGUGGAACUGAAGGUCUUUUUGCAUUGUGAGGAGUGCAUCAAGAAGAUUCUCAAAGCCAUCAAGAAAAUACAAGAUAUAGAAACAUAUAAUGUAGAUAUACAGCUGAACAAG
rnacentral:misc_RNA from 1 species